GACAGAGGAUGCAAGCGUUAUCCGGAAUGAUUGGGCGUAAAGCGUCUGUAGGUGGCUUUUUAAGUCCGCCGUCAAAUCCCAGGGCUCAACCCUGGACAGGCGGUGGAAACUACCAAGCUGGAGUACGGUAGGGGCAGAGGGAAUUCCUGGUGUAGCGGUGAAAUGCGCAGAUAUCAGGAGGAACACCGGUGGCGAAGGCGGGUCUCUGGGCCGAUACUGACGCUGAGGAGCGAAAGCGUGGGGAGCAAACAGG
rnacentral:rRNA from 1 species